UUUGGGUUCAGAAACUUUGGUGACGCCCUGUUUGAGCGUAUGGAAGGCCUGGUUUAAUCAACCCAAUUAACACCUGGGCUUGGACUGAAAUUAAUUUCUGAUCCAUGGACUAUCAUGUUUGGAAAUGGAAUGUUUCACUUCUGCUGCUCUGAGGCCAUUGCUGCUUCUCCGCUGUUGGCAUGGAAGCUGCCAGUGAAUGGUAAUUCAUUUCUUCGUUUCAUCUUCGAAUUGUUCGUUUUAUUUUGUUCUAGAUUUCUAAUUGAUUAAUUGAUAAUCGAUCAGUUGAUUUUUUAAUCAUUUUGCGAGGCAUUAUACUUUUUUUUUUUUUAUGAAAUUGCAAUUUAGGUUUUUCUUCUUUUAAUAUGAUUUUUAUGUAUUGGAUGGUCUGAGAAAAUGGUGGUGUCGUUUUCAACUGCAAAAUGGAUGAUUUCCACAUUGACUGAAAUGCGAAACCUCUGUAGCUUAUGAUAUUUCAUGUUCGCACUGCAAUGGUUUUUUCCUCUUGCUUGGCAUCGUGUAAAUAAUGGAAUCUAAUGAUUUUUUACCCUCUAGUUUAUGAAUUAUUUAGCUGAAACGCUUUGUGGUGGUGGUUUUUGUGUUUGGGGGGAGGGAGAGCACACGACCUUCAUCCAUGUCCUUGAAACUUCGGUAGCCUGAAUUAAUCUUUCCAAAUCCAAUCUCUGGGUGUUCUGUUAUAGAAUGCUUCUGAAUAUGUAUUCUGCUUUGUUGAGAUCCAAACAUGGUCUUAUGAAUUUGGUUGGAAGAAUGCUAAGUCUUUCAUUUAAACACCACUAUACUUUAAGAGAUGGCAUCCUCUUCCAGCUUAAAUUUUUUAAUAGGUAAAUGUGGGUUGGAAUACUCAGUCACACUCUCUCAACAAGACAGAAAAGACAGCUGAUGAGUCCUAGUUUCGUCACUUGACAGCGCACCGAAAAUGUGGGAGACAAUCUUGGUCCACAAUGCUGAUUUUAUAGCCGACACUAGAGCUUCAGUCAAAGCGCUUUUCAUUAUGAAGAUUCUUAUUGGCCUUGCAAUUAGCAUUAUUAAGAAUUAGAGAUGUAUCAAUCUUGUCCAAGGCUCAUCAAAGAUUGAGAAGAAACCUUUGGAGCAUUAAGUCCUCUACAUUUUAUGACCAUCACAAAACAGUUUCUUUUCUCAAUGUGGAAAGAUAUUUAACUUUUGAUAACUUUUUAGAGUUUGACAAAUGUAAUUCAUAAAUUUAUUUAUUUAUUUAUUUUUGUUUUUUAUUCCCGGUGGCCGUG
rnacentral:lncRNA from 1 species